rnacentral:rRNA from 1 species
GACGAACGCUGGCGGCGUGCUUAACACAUGCAAGUCGAACGGAAAGGCCCUGCUUUUGUGGGGUGCUCGAGUGGCGAACGGGUGAGUAACACGUGAGUAACCUGCCCUUGACUUUGGGAUAACUUCAGGAAACUGGGGCUAAUACCGGAUAGGAGCUCCUGCUGCAUGGUGGGGGUUGGAAAGUUUCGGCGGUUGGGGAUGGACUCGCGGCUUAUCAGCUUGUUGGUGGGGUAGUGGCUUACCAAGGCUUUGACGGGUAGCCGGCCUGAGAGGGUGACCGGCAACAUUGGGACUGAGAUACGGCCCAGACUCCUACGGGAGGCAGCAGUGGGGAAUAUUGCACAAUGGGCGGAAGCCUGAUGCAGCAACGCCGCGUGCGGGAUGACGGCCUUCGGGUUGUAAACCGCUUUCGCCUGUGACGAAGCGUGAGUGACGGUAAUGGGUAAAGAAGCACCGGCUAACUACGUGCCAGCCGCCGCGGUAAAAC